GGGCCACACCUAUGGCAUAUGUAAGUUCCCAGGCUAGGGGUCCAAUUGGAGCUACAGCUUCCAGCCUACGCCACAGCCACAGCCACAUCAGAUCUGAGCUGCAUCUGUGACCUACACCACAGAUCAUGGCAACGCCAGAUCCUCAACCCACUGAGCGAGGCCAGGGAUCGAACCCGCAACCUCAUGGUUCCUAGUCAGAUUUGUUUCUGCUGUGCCAUGAGGGGAACUCCUACAAGAAAUUUUGAUGCAUGUGUAUCCCUGUUCAUGUUUUUAAAAGUAUUCUUCUGUAUAGAAGGAAAUUGUUCAUCUGCCUCUUAGUCCUACUGAAGCACUGCUAACAACUUCAAGACCAACACUAGCAGAAAUUGGGAGGUGAAAGUAAACUCCCAGCCUCCCAACUUCCCCACCAAUGAUGGAAACCUUGCAAAAGGAAUGGCAUCCCCUGCAACACACAUCAAAAUAGUAAUACAUAAUGCUGGUGAAGUUGUGGGAAAAUGCACAUCCUUAUCUAAUUGGGUAGCCCCAGCAUAAACUCCUCCAAAGAGAAAUUUAAUAAUGUACUCUGAGAACCAUCAGAAUGCUUUUUCUUUUCAACCCUAGGAAUUUAUCUUAAGGAUAUGAUACCCAACCACCACCAAAAGAAAAAAAAAUGAAAAGGUAUCUAUUAUCAGUAACUACAUUUAUUAGAGUGGAAAAUUAGAAGUGUGUGUUUUCUUAUUUUCAAUUUUGGCUAAGCAGGAAGCAUUAUUUUUCCUUCACAUUUGGGAUCUGAGGUAUAAAAGAUCACAGAACCGGUAUGAACUGAAUGCCAGCUGUGUUCCCAGUGCCUCACUUUCCUGAGCUCAGUGACACCCCUCUCCCCACCUGUUAGGUCCCCUUACAGACGAAGGCUCACUAUGCAAGUUACUGGGAGUGGCAGGAUUGAUUUCAGUCCAGUGUUUUUCAAAGACCUGCAACACACUCUAUUAUUCUUAGAAACUCUUCCCUUGGCAUUGAGGCAUCCCAUUUGGGUUCCACUGAAAGGAGAGAAUAUAAUCUCAUUUGAUACUUUACCAAAGCGUAGUUUACAAAGGGAGAAAAAUCCCAAGUUCAAACACAUGGAGUUUUUUUCUCUUGCUUAGCCCCUUCCUUUUAUUAUCCACUUUAUAUUCUCUAAGAAGUUGGGACUCAUUAAUUACAGCAGUGGUAAUUAUAACCCACUUGUACUUCUGCAGAGCCCUUCUGAGGAGCUGAGAGUCCUUUAUAAACACAAGCUCAUUAAUUGUCCCAGCAGCCCUGCAGGUAGAAAGUAGCUACUGUCCUUAGAGGAUGGGGCUCUGAAGCUACCUCCCCUGGGGCUGCAGGUGCUCUGGGGCCAGGGGCCUGGGCUGCUUGGAGCCCUUUGCAGGGACAGCCAUUUGCCUGAGACACUGAAGGCUGAAAGCCACCUGGUCAUUGGCUAUAAGGGCAUCUAAUUAUCUUGGAGUUCCAUAACAAAAGCCCUUGGCUUAGCAGUCCUCCAGGCCACACUCACAGGACAGGGUUGAACACCUGAAUCUGUACACCACAGUCUGGCCCCAGUGCCAUCUGCUGUGUUCGGACCUCAGCACAUUUGCUCAUGCUCUGGGCCUAAACAAGGCAUAGCAAACAACUCUGCUCUCCCUCCUCUUUUCUAAAUAGCCCACCCUUCAGCUGAGGUUCCACCGGUUCUGCAGCAUCUCUUUCUUCCUGACCUCAACCAAGGUGUAUAGUCUGGCCCAUUCAUUUUGCCACUAACUCUGAGCAGUAUGGCAUCUCUUAGGUUGCUGUCUUGCAUUGCUAGUGAUUUUCUAAAUCAUUAUUUGGUGUUCCUUUGAAGCACAGUCUGGUCUUCCCGCUGUCUGAGAGCCUUUUGGGGGAGGAAUGCAGCUUCUCUGUGUUUCUGGGCCCUUUACUGCCUAGCACAGGGUUUGGUAAACAGUACGGGGUCAAGAAAUGUUGUCUGAUGGGCAGAUGGAGAUCUGAGUGGCUGUUCUCCAGGGAGCACUGACAGAGCAGAUAGACGCCACUGCUACUUCCCCUGCCUCCAUCCCACCCAUCAGGCCAGAACCCUAAGCCAGAGAACACUUGCUGCCUCCCAGGUACCUGUUUGCACAGCUUCACAUCUUACUCAGGCUGCUCCUUACCUCUCCUGCCAGACCCGCCUAUAACAUCACAGUGUGCUCAUCUUUCUAACCUCCGCUCAAAUGUCACAUCUUAAUGAAAUCUUCCUGAACCCAUCUUUUCUCCAUGAAAAAUCAUCACCCUCUUCUUUGAGCUCCCACAACAUACUGCAUAAGAAACGAUCCAAAUUGUGACUUGGUCACUUCCUAGCCUCCUGGCUUUGGACAGGUCCCCACCUCCCCAAGCCUCUGUGACCUUGUCCUUUGGUGGUAACCAUAUGCCAGGUAGAUAAGUGUUAUGAGCAUGAAAAGGGAGAGCGCAGUGCCUGGUGCUUAGUAUGCCAUGACUGCUCAAAUGUCUGUCUUUGCUGCUGCAGAGAGGGCAGUGGUGCUGCCUAAUCCAUUGUUGAGAUGGGGUGACCCCUGAGUCUCUUGUUUUUAAAAAGCUUAUCAACUGACUCUGAUGUAUAGCUACAUUUGGGGACCAUGAGCCUAAACUAGACUCUCUUAUGAGAGGGGAACCAGAUUCCAGAAAGUGGAGGCAGAGCAGGGGCAGGGAUGUGUCCAAGGUCAGCACCAUGAAUAAGGGUUGGAGCCAAGGUGAGAUGUACAGAGCCAAGUGUUGGAAGGGACCUUCCAUGUCACCACACCAACAACAUACCUGGUGUUCAAAUCCCACCAAAUAUUUGAUAAGCCUGACUUCUCUUUUUAUUCUUCUUUCUUCUAGUUCUAUUCAUACAAAUAAGGUCUGAUUACAUUCUCAUUAUAAAAUAAUCACCCAAAGAAAGAAUCCCCCUUGAUGUCUGUCCAGCCUCCCCCCAACUGGUAUUGGGUUUUCCUGUGUAUCCUUUCAGAACUUUUUAUGGGUGUUCAAUUAUUUUUUAUUUUAUUUUGAGGGUACAUGAAGGACUUUACAAAGAUUAUGCUAUUAGGAUUAUUCUCAAGUUAAUAUUAACUUUGUCUACAUUAGCUGAUGGGGGAAGUCACUAACUGGGGUAGGAUCCUAUUCAGUCACAGCCACAGCAGUAGCCACACUGACACUCCAUUUGGGAAACAUUCCAUGUGUCUCUUAAGACCAGGCACUGAGCAUUAAUCAAAGUUCUCUGAGUUAUGCUAAACUCAGUCUCCUAAGGUUCUUGCCUGCAUUUCUCCAUCUCAUUCAUCAGGAUGUCCUAAGAGUCCAUGUCAAUUUCUUUAUGGAAAUUUAGAUCUAUUAUAUUUGUUGUGUUUCUUGGAUCACGUUUUCAGUAAACUUGUCAGAGAGUGCUGAUUUGACACUAAGCUUGUUAUGACUUACUAUGGCUUAUUAGGACUCAGCUAUUCCUUGUAAAGCUAUCUUGAGGCCUGAUGAUCACCAUGCCAUUUUCCAAUUGCUAAUAAAUCAUGACUUUAAUUGCUCAUGCUGCAAUCCCUCCCUGGAUCAAUAUCAGGAUCAUGAAUAUAUAACAUUUCUAUUAUCAUUCAAGUUUUCUCAUCUCCACAAUCCUCCCAAGAUCACCACUAGCUGUUUGGUGAUUUUCUUUGCCAGGAGCUCUCAGGACCCAGGGUAUAGAUCAUUGGCCUUAGGAAACUGAACUCAGGUCAGGGUUCUGACUUCCCCACUCCACCACAGCUGUGCCACCAGCUCAUAGCACUUUUUUUCCUUCUAGUCUGAAGUUCACUUUCCUGGCCUGAGAAGAAAUCAAUAGUAGACAACAUUCAUUUCCUCUUCAUUCCCUGACAUCAAUGAGAGGUGUACUGGGAAUGUCAUGGGCCUUGGGAAUCAGACAGAGGUUUUGUUCAAAUCCCAGCUCUACCACUGUUCAGCUCUGUGACCUGGGGCAAGUUGUUGAACCUUGCUAAUCCUUGCUCUCCAGUUCUGUAAAAUGGGCAGAACUGGUUUAAGACUAGGAAUAAUGUACUUACUCAAUGAAUGAUAGUUAUAAUUAUCAUUAUCAUCCCAUCUGGCUUGAGCAACCAUCUCUUGGGGCUAAGAAGGCACACUUUUCUCACAAGUUAAGCCACUCACCAAAGCAAUCAGCCAUCACCUGCCUAGGUUUUCCUCAGCCUGGAUUCUCUGCUGUUGUGACUGAUGGAGAACAGAGAUGAAGUUCUGAGCUUCUAUAACAAACACCAAGAGGAAAACAAACUCUGAGCUCUCUGGGAUAGAGGGCCAUUCUCCUCCUGAGUCCUUUUGUGGCAGCUGCUCCCCUAGUGCCUGGAUGGGGGAUGCUAUGAUUGGCCCAGUGUUUCUUACUUAACCCCCUUCACUUUCUGUUCACCAUGGAGAAGACUCUGGCCCCAGCUCACCUCAAAUACUGUUCUCUUUCAUGGACUUGAUGAGGUCUUUGCCACUGUGUAGUCCAACUCCUUUACAAAUGCAGAAACUGAGGCUCAGAGGGGGUGAUCUAAUCAAGGUUCUUCAAAAAUUUAGUUGUGGAUCUGAUGCUAGCACCCAGGAAUUCUGGGGCACCAUCUCUUCCUCUGAGCUCACUCCCCUUUGAUCUGGCUCCUCAUAGCUGACAGGGAGCUCUUCUUAAGCCUAAAGGCUUUAAGCAAACCAAUCUCCAUCACUUGCCCCUGCUCCUCCUUCUUCAUGCUCCCAAGGGUAAACCUGUCUCUGCUGUGUGACCUUGGGCAAGUCACUGUCUCUCUUUGGGCCUCUGUCUAAUGAGGAUGUUGGAACACCUGAUCUCCAAAGGUAUUUCCACUCUGAUAGUCACAAACUCUGUGCAGGUGAGCUCCAACCCUCAGGUCUCAAUGAUACCCAGAUUCACUUGAGCCCAUACUGACAGGUGAGCUUUCCCAUCCAUCCAGUCUUGAAUGCAGGCUUCAUAUCCCGAUCACUGAGCUUAAGGGAUUCGAGGCAGGCAUGAGGACCCUUUAAUGCAAUGAUGGGUGUACCACGAGGCUGUACUGCAAUCAACAAACCAAACCCUCUCCAAUACAGAGUUUAGUUGGAAAGACUCCAUCCUUGCUGGAGACCCAUGAAUCCACCACUCAGUUCCCUUUAAACAACCUGGGCUCUUUUGGGGAACUCUCAGGAAUGCCAUUCUAGAACUGGGGCUCCCUAGGCAUGGCCAGCAUCAGGUCUUUAGCCGUUCAGAGCCAAUUCUGGAAGAUGGCCCCAGCCCACGUGCUCACACAAAUCUCUUUGGGCAUCAUCCAACACUGCCCCCCUCCCAGCCCCCUACUCCCACCCCGCCUGAUCAGCGUUUGGAAAGGAACAGGGGCAGCUCCUCCCUGGGCCCAAGAGACUCCCUGCCCAGGAAGCCAUAUCCCGCCAGCACCUCCCAUGCUCCCCCAGGGCCACACCUGCAGAGGGAUGAUAAGGGAAUUGGAUUCUCCAGCAACACCAGAGGCACAGUCCAAAGAUCCAGAAUAUUUAGCUGUGUUUACCCGCAAUAAUCAGCUUCUCAAAGACGUGUCACUGGGCAGCUCUUGCUACAUUGAUUAUGCUGCCUCAUAUUUUUGGCCCCCGGGGGAAAACAGCUCUGAUUAAUAUUUCACAACACAGGUUUUUUUUUUUUUUAAUAUUCCUUUCUUCAUGUUGUUGCCUUUCUCUCUCUCUCUCUCUCUUUUUUUUUUUUUUUCUUCCUCCCGAGCCCCUGAGAGCCUGAUAGAGAGACACGGAAUAUUUUACCGUCUCUUGUGUCUGCCUGCUCCAGUAAUCAGCGGACUCAAUCACGCUUGCAGUGUUUUUAUGAAUUAAUAACAGGCACUUUGGAGGGCUAGCGGGGGAGGCAGGAAAUGCAAUCUAUGGAAGCUUAAUGAGCG
ensembl:lncRNA